UGGGGAAUAUUGCACAAUGGAGGAAACUCUGAUGCAGCGAUGCCGCGUGAGGGAAGAAGGUUUUAGGAUUGUAAACCUCUGUCUUCGGGGACGAAAAAAAGACGGUACCUGAGGAGGAAGCUCCGGCUAACUACGUGCCAGCAGCCGCGGUAAUACGUAGGGAGCGAGCGUUGUCCGGAAUUACUGGGUGUAAAGGGAGCGUAGGCGGGAUCGCAAGUCAGAUGUGAAAACUAUGGGCUUAACCCAUAAACUGCAUUUGAAACUGUGGUUCUUGAGUGAAGUAGAGGUAAGCGGAAUUCCUAGUGUAGCGGUGAAAUGCGUAGAUAUUAGGAGGAACAUCAGUGGCGAAGGCGGCUUACUGGGCUUUAACUGACGCUGAGGCUCGAAAGCGUGGGGAGCAAACAGGAUUAGAUACCCUGGUAGUCCACGCCGUAAACGAUGAUUACUAGGUGUGGGGGGACUGACCCCUUCCGUGCCGCAGCAAACGCAAUAAGUAAUCCACCUGGGGAGUACGACCGCAAGGUUGAAACUCAAAGGAAUUGACGGGGGCCCGCACAAGCAGUGGAGUAUGUGGAUUAAUUCGAAGCAACGCGAAGAACCUUACCAGGUCUUGACAUCGUAUGCAUAGCUCAGAGAUGAGUGAAAUCUCUUCGGAGACAUAUAGACAGGUGGUGCAUGGUUGUCGUCAGCUCGUGUCGUGAGAUGUUGGGUUAAGUCCCGCAACGAGCGCAACCCUUACUGUUAGUUGCUACGCAAGAGCACUCUAGCAGGACUGCCGUUGACAAAACGGAGGAAGGUGGGGAUGACGUCAAAUCAUCAUGCCCCUUAUGACCUGGGCUACACACGUACUACAAUGGCUGUCAACAGAGGGAUGCAAAGCCGCGAGGUGGAGCGAACCCCUAAAAACAGUCUUAGUUCGGAUUGUAGGCUGCAACCCGCCUACAUGAAGUCGGAAUUGCUAGUAAUCGCAGAUCAGCAUGCUGCGGUGAAUACGUUCCC
rnacentral:rRNA from 1 species